GGGGUUGUAGCUCAGAGAUAGAGCACUCACCUAGCAUGUGUGAGGUCCUGGGUUCGAUCCUCAGCACCACA
rnacentral:tRNA from 1 species